rnacentral:misc_RNA from 1 species
GAUGAAGAACGCAGCGAAAUGCGAUACGUAAUGUGAAUUGCAGAAUUCAGUGAAUCAUCGAAUCUUUGAACGCAUAUUGCGCUCUCUGGUAUUCCGGAGAGCAUGCUUGUUUGAGUAUCAGUAAACACCUCAACUCUUUUUUCUUUUUUGAAAUUGGAGCUGGACUUGAGUGAUCCCAACGCUUUCUUCCAAGAAAGUGGCGGGUUGCUUGAAAUGCAGGUGCAGCUGAACUUUUCUCUGAGCUAUAAGCAUAUCUAUUUAGUCUGCCUAAAAAACAGAUUAUUCCCUUUGCUGCAGCUAACAUAAAGGAGACUAGUUCUUGUGCUGACUGAUGCAGGAUUCACAGAGACAGCUUCGGCUGACUUUGUAAACUCGAUCUCAAAUCAAGUAAGACUACCCGCUGAACUUAAGCAUAUCAAUAAGCGGAGGA